AGAGUUGAUCCUGGCUUAGGACGAACGCUGGCGGUGUGCCUCAUACAUGCAAGUCGAACGAUAAGGUCUCUUCGGAGAUACAUAAGUGGCGGACGGGUGAGUACAACAUAGGAAAUCUGCCUUAGGUGGGGGACAACAGAGGGAAACUCCUGCUAAUACCCCAUAUGAGCUAACUUGAAAUAGUUAUCUUGAAAACUCCGGUGCCCUAAGAUGAGCCUGUGCCUGAUUAGCUGGUUGGUGGUGUAAUGGACUACCAAGGCGACGAUCAGUAGCUGGUUUGAGAGGAUGAUCAGCCACAAUGGGACUGAGACACGGCCCAUACUCCUACGGGAGGCAGCAGUAGGGAAUUUUGCGCAAUGGGGGAAACCCUGACGCAGCAACACCGCGUGAAUGUUAAGCCCUUCGGGGUGUAAAGUUCUGUCAGUAGGGAAGAACAAAUGACUGUACCUACAAAGGAAGCACCGGCUAACUCCGUGCCAGCAGCUGC
rnacentral:rRNA from 1 species